rnacentral:rRNA from 1 species
UACGAAGGGGGCUAGCGUUGUUCGGAAUUACUGGGCGUAAAGAGUGUGUAGGCGGUGCUCUAAGUCUGUUGUGAAAUCUCCCGGCUUAACCGGGAGGGUGCGGCGGAAACUGGAGUGCUUGAGGGUGGGAGAGGUAAGCGGAAUUCCUGGUGUAGCGGUGAAAUGCGUAGAUAUCAGGAGGAACACCUGUGGUGUAGACAGCUUACUGGACCACUUCUGACGCUGAGACACGAAAGCGUGGGUAGCAAACAGG